AGGCAUUUGGGGUCAAUACGUGUUACACAAACAAACACACAAGAUGAUCGCCGGGAUUCUCUCAGUCUUCGUUGGGGUUUGUCUUUUAGUGUCCGGGACGGCUGGAGGUGAGUGCUGCAUAGCCCUUAACGGAGAUCCUCUGGUCCCGGACAACGACGCGAUGUGGUGCGGGAUUACUGCUGUCACGAGCCCACUAACAUGACUAAGUACCACUGCUGUGAUGAUAUACUUCUCCAGGCGGACAGCUCGAACCGAGAGGCUAUAUGCGCCGACUACUUUUACCAGCCUGUAUGUGACGGUAGUGAACUCGUCAACAAACAGUAUGCAGAGCUCUACCAACAGUAUGCCGAGCAUGUAUGAGGCACCUCCAACGGACCCCUACCGCGCGGGAUACGACCAGGACAAGCACUACUGAACCAGCAAUACACUUCACAUGUGCCCUUAUCGACACGCCACUAACACUCUUUGAUAUUUUAUAUAAGCUAAACACUUUUUAUUUCGAAAAUACAGAUCCAACAUGACUAAACAUGAUUGAAAUGAUUUGACAACAACAUAGUUUGUUUCCGAGAUGUCAGGGGGAAGGGCGAAACGCUUUUUGUUAAAGAGUUUUAUUUAAAAGCAUUUCAAUUGACAUGAAUAUAAAGGUGUCUACUGAUCAAUGUUUGAAAAAGGGCCAAAAAUUGUUGAAUGCUUCUCACUUUUCAAUUUGAGCAUUAAA